rnacentral:rRNA from 1 species
AUUGAACGCUGGCGGCAGGCCUAACACAUGCAAGUCGAGCGCGCGGCGGACGGGUGAGUAAUGUAUGGGGCUCUGCCCGAUAGAGGGGGAUAACUACUGGACACGGUGGCUAAUACCGCAUACUCUCGGAUGAACCCAUAUGGGAUUAGCUAGUAGGUGGGGUAAAGGCUCACCUAGGCAACGAUCUCUAGCUGGGCUGAGAGGAUGAUCAGCACCACUGGGACUGAGACACGGCCCAGACUCAUACGGGAGGCAGGAGGGGGGAAUAGUGCACAAGGGGAGCAAGCCUGAUGCAGCCAUGCCGCGUGGAUGAAGAAGGCCUGAGGGUUGGAAAGUACUUUCAGCGGGGAGGCGUUACCCGCAGAAGAAGCACCGGCUAACUCCGUGCCAACAGCCGCGGUAAUAC